rnacentral:rRNA from 1 species
AUGGUGGAGAAGUACAACCUGAAGAACCACACCUACAUGACACAAUUGUUUGAGACACCGCACAAGUGGGCGAAGCCUUACUUCACUGGUGUGUUCUUUGCCAAGAUGACAAGUACACAGCGGAGUGAAAGCGCUAACCACAUGUUGAAGAAUUAUGUGCCUCCAGGCUGCCCCAUGCAUAAGUCUAUCAGGAAGUACAUGAUGUUGCUGUUUGACAGGGAGUCGCAGGAAAAUUAUGAGGAGAAAAGAACCUGA